CAUUUUAUCACAUUCAUAUUCAAUGUUUAAAACACAAAUGUAUUUUAGACACAUGCUCAAUACUGCACCAAACCUUGGCACACUUGAGGCCAAAAUCAAAGGAAAUCAAGGCAUAUAAACAUAGGCCAGUGAGCUAAAAGUUUAUGACUUACUCAGCCGAACAUUUUUUACUCACUAUUUGUAUCUCCCACGCAGUACGGUCCAGAGAUUCUUCCAGAGGCAGCUGUAUGUGGCAAAACAAAUUGGGUUAUACACUAUCCCUAAACUGUCUCUGCCUAAAAGAAAGGUUAUUACCCUAAAAAAAAGGCACUUUUACUUAUUGGUGGCUUUCCCUAAAUCCACGUCUAACCCUAAUGAUAUAAUGGCUUUUGUGUGUGCACUUAUGUGUAGGCAUGCAUAUGAAGUAAUCAGAGAUAUACUUUGCAUUAGAUAUCAGGUUGGGUUACCAUGUGUGUGGCAACUGUACAGCCAUGGCCCCCAGUAUACCCAAACUACAUGUGUGCGUUCUCACAUGCUGGUGAACAUACAAAAGCAAAACAAUGCUGUUUGUGUUCACCAAUUUGAUGUUGCUGAUAUUUCCGACAACAUUGCAUAACCAUUGGUGAGUGCAUAGGGACGUGGUUAUAGAAGUUUGCGUUCCCCAUGUAGGAAUGCACCCUAAGGUCUAGCUACAUACAGCAUGUGUUCAAACUUUGGGUUUUAGACACUAGCACACUAAAUAAGCAAGGAACUUUGUUACAUGUAAGUGAUCGCCAAAAACAAGCCCCCACAUGGCAGCUACAUAGUGAUGACCCAAGAGAGCUGUGCAGUAAUAUGAUCACAUCCACAAAACAAUACUAAAGGGCCCAGAUGUAUUCAAGCACUUCCAGCAAAGUGCAGGGUGGGUAAAGAUGGGAUCACUUCAGCCAUGCUGCGACAUUUAAAGAGGAGCCUUGGCCAAAAGUAUUUUUCAUUUCACAGCCCCAAGUGCCCACUUCAAUUUUUCUCAGGUAGGGGGAAACUAGGGGUGUGAAUAUGAGGCUGUGGGGGAUGUGAAUCAUGCUGGGUGCCAUAUUCACACUCCUUUUUGAGCCCAUUUAGGAGGUUUUAUGUAGGUGCUAAUAUUAAAAUAUCACUCCGGGGAAUAUUUAUUAAAACCUGUGUGGAGGAGUGGUGCUGCUGCAUAUAGCAAGCCCAUGAACUUCUUCCUUUUGUUAAAAUACCUCUGUUCCUCUACACAGGCUUUGAUUUGCGGUAUCUCCCCAGAACACAGUCCAAUAUUACAGAUUGUUAUAAAAUCUACUAAUCAUGAAGAGCCUAUGUAGAUGCACAAGUCACCUACUAUAUACAUUUUUUUUCUGUUCAAACCAAGUGGAUUCACAUUCAUGCCUCACAUUGUAAACCGCCCCCCUUCUAGGAUACAUGUGCACCACCUCAAUGACACCAAAAUUCGGGGCUUUGGGGUUUCCUCCAUGAACCUCUAACUUGUAUAGGAAAAUAGUGGUUUCACAUUCAUUCCUAAGAUCUCCUUAGAGGCCCCUUUUUAGUCUCUCCCACUAAACCAAUUGAGUAUUACCAUUAAAAGGUGUACUCCGGUGGAAAACAUUUUUUUUCAAAUCAACUGGCUUCAGAAAGUUAAAAAGAUUUGUAAAUCACUUCCAUUAAAAAAAAGCUUAAUCCUUCCAGUACUUAGCUGCUGUAUGCUCCAGAGGAAGUUGUAUAGUUAUUUUCUGUCUGACCACAGUGCUCUCUUCUGACACCUCUGUCCAUGUCCAGAGUAGGAGCAAAUCCCCAUAGCAAACCUCUCCUGCUCUGGACAGAGGUGUCAGCAGAGAGCACUGUGGACAGACUGAAAAGAACCACACAACAGCUGAUAAGUACUGGAAGGAUUAAGAUUUUUUAAUAGAAAUGGUUUACAAAUCUGUUUAACCAGUUGAUUUGAAAACCAUUGUUUUCCACCGGAGUAUUCCUUUAACCAAAACAUUUAAACUUUUAAAGCUUCACACCCAGGCGUUCUCUACCCUCACCACACUUUUACAUUUGUAUUGGUCAGUUCUCAAGCUAUGACCUCAUAGUGGCUGUGAACCACACAAUGUAAGUGAUACACUUCAUGAUCAUGUCUUGGAGGUUGGGGAAAGUUACAAAGACACUACUUGUCAGUUUGACCUUCAUAUUUCCCAGUUAGAUGCAAAGGAUGUUCCCACCACCUCAACUCGGGAUCUGCUUGAUGCGAGUCAGAUCCAUCUGCAUGUAACAUAUUGGAAAACUGGCACCCAGAAGGCAAAGGAUCAGGCAGCACUGGAGCUGUGACCACAGUUGUGUUGUUCCGACCUUCAAAUAAAUGGCUGAUAACAGGAAACAACAGCUGUUUUGCAGGGUGCGGCCAUGUGAGUGGAAAACAGAGGCCAUAUUGUCCCAAGAACAGAUUCCUCAUGAUUUCCAUAGCCGCCUGAUAAGGUCACGCCUGCGAUCGCCAAAUCUUCAGUGUUCCGGGAGAAUUGAAAAACAAGCUGGAGAAGGGGCAUGUGUUAACUGGC